AAAUUUCAUAAAGAAACACACAUUUUUUACAAUAUUCCAUGUUUUUAUUCUUAAAACUGAUAAAAUUUACAUUUAAUGUUCAGGAAAUUUCCCAAAAUAUAUGAAAGUUUUAAAAUAUUUGUAGUGAAGCUGUAUGUGACAACUUUUUUUUCGGGAAAUGUCCCGAAAUCAUUUUCAACAUUAUUAUUUAUAACAUAUAUGUUGGCAGAGCGUUUUAACAGAAAUAUCUGAAACACAUUUCGGGAAAUAUCCCGACAAAAAUUAACUAACUACAAAAUAUGUACACAGAUGUCUUCAAAUAUUUCGGGAUUUA
rnacentral:lncRNA from 1 species